UGCGUAGGUGGUCAUAUUAGUCGGUCGUUAAAUAUCCAGGGCUCAACCUUGGAAAUCUGAUCGAAACGGUAUGACUCGAGGGUGCGAGAGGUGAAUGGAACUCAUGGUGUAGGGGUGAAAUCCGUUGAUAUCAUGGGGAACACCGAAAGCGAAGGCAAUUCACUGGCGCAUUCCUGACACUCAAACACGAAAGCGUGGGUAGCGAACG
rnacentral:rRNA from 1 species